AAGACGCUCACCUCACUAAUGAUGCUAAUCUCCUGGGAAAUUUGGACGGAGCGCAAUGCUAGAGUUUUUCGCAACACGGCCGCACCUACGAUGGUCGUCAUUAGUAAGAUAAAAGAGGAGUUGUCGCUUUGAGCGUUGGCGGGCGCUAAUCAUUUGAGUGUUGUAUUGCCGCGAGAGUAG
rnacentral:rRNA from 1 species